AGUUUGAUCAUGGCUCAGGAUGAACGCUGGCGGCGUGCUUAACACAUGCAAGUCGAACGAUGAUCCCAGCUUGCUGGGGGAUUAGUGGCGAACGGGUGAGUAACACGUGAGUAACCUGCCCUUGACUCUGGGAUAAGCCUGGGAAACUGGGUCUAAUACCGGAUACGACCAUCUGGCGCAUGUCAUGGUGGUGGAAAGCUUUUGUGGUUUUGGAUGGACUCGCGGCCUAUCAGCUUGUUGGUGGGGUAAUGGCCUACCAAGGCGACGACGGGUAGCCGGCCUGAGAGGGUGACCGGCCACACUGGGACUGAGACACGGCCCAGACUCCUACGGGAGGCAGCAGUGGGGAAUAUUGCACAAUGGGCGCAAGCCUGAUGCAGCGACGCCGCGUGAGGGAUGACGGCCUUCGGGUUGUAAACCUCUUCAGUAGGGAAGAAGCGCCGGCUAACUACGUGCCAG
rnacentral:rRNA from 1 species